GAUGAAGAACGUAGCGAAAUGCGAUAAGUAAUGAGAAUUGCAGAAUUCAGUGGAUCAUCGAAUCUUUGAACGCACAUUGCGCCCCUUGGUAUUCCGAGGGGCAUGCCUGUUCGAGCGUCAUUUCAACCCUCAAGCUCUGCUUGGUCUUGGGCCUGGCCGUGAUGGCCGGUCUUAAAAUCAGUGGCGGUGCCGUCGCAGGCUCCAAGCGUAGUACAUCUCUCGCUCUGGAAACUUGGCGGUGCCUGACAGACAACCCCUAAUUGUCUCUUUCGGUUGACCUCGGAUCAGGUAGGGAUACCCGCUGAACUUAAGCAUAUCAAUAAGCGGAGGA
rnacentral:misc_RNA from 1 species